GGUCGGUGUUGUGUUUUUAUGGUGGUUGUGAGUUGUUGUGUUGACUGGAACCGUAGGGGGAGGGUCUAUAUAUAUAUAUUGAAUAGCGUUUCAAAAAAUUUAUCAAGUUUUUAGCAAAAGCAAGUUUGAAAACAAUUUGACUAAUUUGAUGAACUGAUGCUAGAUUGAACUAAAAUGUAAUCAAUAUGAAUUAAAAGAAAAUCUAAUUUAAGGAAUUAAGACAAGGUUAAC
rnacentral:lncRNA from 1 species